GUCUAUGGCCGUACCACCCUGAACAUGUCCAAACUCGUCUGAUCUCAGAAGCUAAGCAAGGUCAGGCCUGGUUAGGACUUGACUGGGAGAAUGAAAAUUAGUGCAACCACUGUGGAAA
rnacentral:rRNA from 1 species